UACGGGGGGGGCAAGCGUUGUUCGGAUUCAUUGGGCGUAAAGGGUGCGUAGGUGGCGCUGUAAGUCGGGUGUGAAAUUUCGGAGCUUAACUCCGAAACUGCAUUCGAUACUGCGGUGCUUGAGGACUGGAGAGGAGACUGGAAUUCAUGGUGUAGCAGUGAAAUGCGUAGAGAUCAUGAGGAAGACCAGUGGCGAAGGCGGGUCUCUGGACAGUUCCUGACACUGAGGCACGAAGGCCAGGGGAGCAAACGGG
rnacentral:rRNA from 1 species